rnacentral:lncRNA from 1 species
CUGCUCUAAAAAAGAAAUUGAAAAUUGACAUCUGUCUUCACCUGUCAUUUUUAUCUUUCUCCUAGAUAAUGGUUGCAGUGUUGGGGACCAUUUGUUCCAAGGAGAAGUGUGUUGAUCAUAGCUCUGCAUCUGCUGUUCCCAACACCACAGUCCCUGGAGCAGCUCUUCUUGGCCACCCAUUGCAGGAAGAGAAAAUCUUCUCUUCAGAAAUCUUACUUUGAUGUGUACUGGGAAAAAGUGAUUUUCUCAGAUGUAAGGAAACAGCAGAACCUGCACAUUGAGAUGAGUACUUUUUUUUCAGCAUCAAAUGAACAGUUCAGAUGUCAGACCACACCGAUUGCACUAGUGCUUGCUCCGGGAUCUUCCAUGCACCAUGAAUACAGGAUCAAGGAUUCAGAAUAUGUGCCUUGCUUAAUGGAGGAGAUUCUUCAGCUGCCCCAUGAGGAGAGCCAAACCUGAUGAGCUGUUCAAGGAGUAGAGAGAGCUUGCUGUCCAACGUGCUCUGUGGUUACCUGUGCUCCUGACAGGGUGGAGUAAGCCACUGGAAGUAGCUUUCCUGCA